UGAAUAUCUGAGAGCUCUACUUCAGAGAAAAGGGCGAAGUGUCCUGGCAGACUACGAGGCUACUGGGAUGCUGUCAUUGACAUCAAGAAAGCUCCUCGUGAAAAUUGGUGUCAGCGAUUUGAUCGAGAGAAAGGGAUUCUGGACGCAGCAUUUGGGAGGAUGUUUCCAGGAAAGGCUGACAACUUCAUUCGGAAAUGGGAAGCAACCAUUGUGCCAAAACUGUGUGCCACCUGUUCCUGAGAAUGAUGCAUCUUGCUUUUCAAACACUGAUCCAGUUGCUGCCUCCAACUUCAGCAGGAAAAGGGAAAGGCGGAAAAUGAAUUGUCAAGUCAGCUCUGGGCCACCUCGACUUAGACAUGAAACUGGUAGGUAUGUUUCCUUUGCGUCCCUCUAUUCUCACCUCCAUCUCCCUUACUCUGUCUCACUAUAGCUCAUAUCGACAGGACACCGGCAUGUCGUGUUUCAGAGAGGAGUGUGUUUGGGUGUGAGUGUGGUGGAGUGUGAUGGUGGUGGUGGAGUGUGUGUUGGAGGGUGGAAUUGAGGUGGGCCUGAAAGGCAGCUGUAAAAGGAAGGGUGAGGGGGUGAGGUUUACUGAGGGUUUUUGUUAGAGAAGGGGUGUAUGUGUGCUAUGUUUGUGUUUGUGUGCGCGCCUGCGUGUGUGUGUGUGUGUGUGCUUACUUGUGUAAUUAUUUCUUUGUUUCAUUCUCUCAAAUCCCCCACACCCCAGAUUGGAACCAGUAUGUCCGGCCUGCUGAACGACAGUCCUCCUGAGCGCCUGUUGGAAAAUCGUCAUCCCCACCUUGUGUGUAUCGGUCAAGCCCAUGCUACUGCCCAAUACAUCAUCAUCGCUGAGAACGACAAAGUUGACAUCCCGCUCCAAGACAAUGGUUUGACUUUUGCAAUGGACAAACUGUUCAAAAUGUUUUGGAUUUGCAAUGCACAAUGACGUCUAUGUUUCACUUCUUUGAGACUGUUUACGAAGUGCCCCUCUCUAGUGGGAAGAGGGCCAAAGUGAUGGAGCUACUGUCAAAGCUCCAAGCCAUCCACUGAAAACUACAAAUAUGUAAAUGUGUCCUAAGUGUAAUAGUGAAUUGAGAGAUGUCAACAAACUUUUGCGACAUCUUAGAAAUGUUCAUGCACUGUCUGAUGGACAAAAUUUCACACUUGUUUGUGGUCAGAAAUCAUGCCAACGAACAUACCACAACUUCAAUUCAUAUACAAAGCACCUUAACAGAGACCAUCCUCAGGGUGAUGAUGAUAAUGACACACAUAACUUUUUCUAUGACAAAGCACUGGACUUUCCAACUCCAUUGUGCUCUGAUGCCAUUAUAUAAUUGUAGCUUUCUUGUGAAAGGUUCAUUUCAGUGUCAUCAUGUGUUUUAUGGUACAAGUAAUCGUACAAAAAAGGUAAUCAGCUGUUUGAACAGUAUAGCUAAUCCUUUAGUUACAACUGGAGCAAAGAUAAUGUCACAGAUCUCUCUCAACAAAAGAAACAACUUCCAGUGAUCAUUGUCUUCAUCUAUGAAAUCUCGUAUGAAGAAUGGUAGGAAGAGAAGCAAGCACCACAUUUGGCUUGCAGUUUGGCGUAUGUCUCCCAUUCUCAAAUACACAAUGGCACUGGGCUUGUUUUUCCCAUUAGAAAUGCCAUAGUCAAAACCGGCCUUGUACGAUUACUUUCAGGGUAUGAUAUAUGAUAGCGACACACAAAACUUUUUCUAUGACAUAGCACUGGACCUUUCAACUACAUUGUGCUCUGAUGCCAUUAUAUAAUUGUAGCUUUCUUGUGAAAGGCCCAUUUCAGUGUCAUCAUGUGUUUUAUGGUUCCAAUAAUCAUACAAAAAA